AAUCAAACUUCCCUGAAUCAGGAAUUUGUUCUGGGGUUAGAAUCAAGAAAUAAGGCUGCUUCUUUGUAGGAGACACUUCUUCCUCCCCAUCUGAAAACCACCUUUGUAACUUUGUGUCACCAUGGUGCACCCCUGUGGCCUCCUAACCUGCCACAAGGAGCCAGUGCCACUGAAGAGCAUCUCUGUGACCUUGUCCAUUUGUGAGUUUGUGGCUGGUGUGUCUGCAACCUUAAACUAUGAGAAUGAGGAGGAAGUACCUUUGGAGACCUUCUUUGUAUUCCCCAUGGAUGAAGACUCAGCUGUCUACAGCUUCGAGGCCACAGUGGAUGGGAAGAAAAUUAAAGCAGAAUUACAGGAAAAGAUGCAGGCACAAACCAACUAUGAGAAUGCCAUCAGCCAGGGCCACCAAGCCUUCCUGUUAGAGGAGGACAUGUCCUCCAGGGAUGUCUUCUGUUGCAAUGUGGGGAACCUCCUCCCGGGGUCAAAGGCAGCACUCACCCUGAAGUACGUGCAGGAGCUGCCCCUGGAAGCAGAUGGGGCUCUGAGAUAUGUGCUCCCAGCUAUCCUGAAUCCUCGAUACCAACUGUCUGGACAGUCUGAGGACAGCUGCCUUGCAGUGAAGGCUCCUGUAGUCCCUUUGGAGGACCUGCCCUACACAAUCAGCAUGGUGGCCACCAUCAGUUCCCCGCACGGCAUUGAGAGGAUUCAAUCCACCUGCUCCUUGAGUCCUAUUGAGUACCUUGGAGUUAAUAAGACUUUUGCUCAGGUUUCCUUGGCUGAUGGGCACAAGUUUGAUCGGGAUGUGGAACUCCUGAUUUACUAUAGUGAGGUGCACACCCCCAGUGUAGCUGUGGAGAAGGGGGAACCCAAAACGAAGCCAGAUUGUCUGAUGGGAGAUCCAGCUGCAAUGGUGAGUUUCUACCCGGAUAUCCCAGAAGCUCAGCAAUCCAAUACCUGUGGAGAAUUUGUCUUCCUCAUGGACCGCUCAGGAAGUAUGCAGGGCCCCAUGAGUAAAGAGAAUAAAUCUCAGCAGCGCAUAGAUGCAGCCAAGGAAACACUGAUUUUGCUUCUGAAGAGUUUACCUCUAGGCUGUUAUUUCAACAUCUACGGAUUUGGAUCUUCUUAUGAGGCAUUCUUUCAGAAUAGUGUGGAGUAUACACAGAGUACCAUGGAGGAGGCACUGAGGAGAGUUAAGCUUAUGCAGGCUAACCUAGGGGGCACGGAAAUCUUGACACCACUCCGGCACAUUUAUAGGGCGCCUUCCAUCCCAGGCCACCCGCUGCAGGUUUUUGUCUUCACAGACGGAGAAGUUUCCAACACAUUUAGUGUCAUUAAAGAAGUUAAGAGCAACCGGCUAAGGCACAGAUGUUUUUCAUUUGGCGUUGGAGAAGGAGCCUCCACCAGCCUAAUAAAAGGCAUUGCCCGUGUAUCACGGGGCACUUCAGAAUUUAUCACAGGCAAGGAAAGGAUGCAGGCCAAGGCUCUUAGAGCCCUGAAACUUUCUCUGCAGCCUGUGGUAGAUAUUUCUCUGAGCUGGGAUUUGCCUCAAGGUCUGUCUGCUAAAAUGCUUUCCCCAGAAGAGACUGUCAUCUUUAGGGGUCAGAGAUUAAUCGUCUAUGCCCAACUGACUGGGAUGAUGCCGCCAGCAGAGGCAACAGGAGAAGUUUGCCUCAAGUACAUGCUCCAAGGCAAGAAUUUUGAGAAUAAGGUGAAAUUUUCUCUACAACCCAAGCUUGAUGCCAACCUCACUAUUCACCGACUUGCAGCCAAGUCCUUUCUCCAGACCAAGGACAUGGGCUUAAGGGAGACUCCAGCAGGUGAUAAAAAAGAGGUGUUGGAAGUCAGCUUGGAAUGUGGAGUCAUAAGCUCCUACACAGCUUUUGUUGCCAUCAACAAGGAUCUCAACAAGCCACUUCAGGGUCCACUGGCUCGUCGGGAUAUUCCAAGGCCAGUUCUAUUGCGUGCUAGUGCAGCAAUGCCAUGGCAUCUUGGAGCUGGUGAGCGUCUUUUUCGGAAGUGUUUGUCUACCAGAGGUGUUGGACUAGCCACACCCAAGGCUCCUGGUCACAGACAAAUGAAGACACGCAUGUGUUUCAAAGAGACUUCUCAUGAGAUGGGAAGGCCUCGUUCUUCCAGCAAAAGGACCAACUCGGAAACUCACCGUCCAGUCUUUGGAGAUGAUCACCUUGUGCAGUUGAUUUCCCUCCAAAAGGCAGACGGUUCCUGGGAUCUGAAUGAAGAUCUGGCCUUGGUCCUGGGUAUGAAGUUGGAAGACAUACUGGCUUCACUCCCUGACAAGGGGAGUCUCUAUCUAUUGUACAGGAUGCAGAUUCCUCAAACUGGGCCACAGUCCUGGCGGUACUCUGGCUCCAUGACAGUGGCAAGGAUGUGAAGUGCGAGUGGGAGCUUCUGGAAAGGAAGGCCGUGGCCUGGAUUCACAUCCAUGCAGGCUCUGUCAGGCAUGCACUUGUGAAAGCUGCGAUUGCCUUCAUGAAAUCAUCUGCGGAUCCUGCCAUCUUUGACCUCUGAAGAUACCAUCCAGAAGAACAAGUGCCUCUUCUAUGCUACUGUCCUUUCCUCUACCCUCUCUUCUGCUCUGAUGCGUUUUUGAAUUUUACACCUAUAUUGUUAGCUUCUUGUCAUGAAAGUAGUGGACGCCCACCCCACCCUGCCUCUGUGUGUGCCAGGUUCCCUCCAGAUGAGCUCUUCCUUCCCCCGCAUGAGCUCUCAGCCAAGCGUCAGUGGUCCCAGAACCUGUUCCCUUAUUUGGAGGAGUUCAAAUCAUUCAUAGGCAGUAAUGUUCCUCCUAGGUUUUCCAGAGUGAUCAGGUGAAACUCAGGUGACAUGGAUGCCCAGCUAACGGUUGGAGCGUUGAUAUUCGCGUUGAUGUUCGGGGAAUGCCUGGAUUAGAGCAUUCUCUGCAUUUUGUCUAUUCAUUUUUGUUUUCACAUAGUUAUCAGGACCAGACUGAUGAGCUAUGCAGUUUCCUAUUUUUAGAUAGGAGGAAGAGUCAGAGGGGAGGUAGAAAGCCCACACUGGGAUGAAUAGAACCUUAAGGUCACAAAGAGGGAGACUCAAGGGAUCCACUGUGAGGGCUGGCACUGUUGGGGACCUUCUUGACUGGUUCUGCUUGGCCUUUGCGAGCCUCUACUACGUGACUUUCCUUCCACUGCCUCAGGGAUUUGGGGCUGAGUUAUACCUGAUGGAGACAUGUUUUUCCUUAAUCAUUAAACAUCUUAGUAAGGGGCAAUAAUCCUUAAUCCUAGCUUGAACUCACGAGGCUUCUAAGUCAGGAUUGGACCUCACAUAAUAAAGGAAAAAAGCAGGUUGAAAGGCAGUUUUGCCUGAGACCUCAACCUAGACCACUCACCCCAUGAGGAAGAAAGGAGCCCCCCAUGUUUCAGAACUUUAUGUCCCAUAGACUCUGUCCCAGUGGACAUGACCCUAUUUGAUGUGUUGUCUCCUGAAAUACUAUCAUGUUGAUAUUAAAAUGGCUGUCUCUACACUGUA